AUCCACGGUCAAGAAAAUGGCGGAUCGGACUGAAAACAUUUUUGCGAACCGUAUGUCCAAAUAGAGACCAGAGCGCCAUUCUUUGGGUUAGAUAGAGCAAAACAAGCACUUAGGGGAUGGUGGCGCAGUUCAUUCGUUUAGUACGCUCGACAGCGCAUCAUUCGCAGUUCGUGUAUGUGAUUAAAUGGUGUAUUAGGUAUAAAAAAUAGAAGAAACAGAAGACAAAGUUGAAGAGAAGACCGGAAACAUGACUUCUGACAUCAUUUCCAUAUCGCCUUCAGAAAUGCUGUCAAAGUAAUUCGAAGUUUCUACCAAUGCCUGUGAUUGGUCGUUCCAUUAUGGCGUCCUCCUAUUUAGACCAAUCAGAUUCAUCGUUGAAGAAGUCGAAGCAUGGUGCAUGGUGGAGUGCAACAGUCCUCUUCGAAGG